UCGGGAAUUUUGGACAAUGGGCGCAAGCCUGAUCCAGCCAUACCGCGUGAGUGAAGAAGGCCUUCGGGUUGUAAAGCUCUUUCAGACGGAAAGAAACGGUUACGGCUAAUACCCGUGACUAAUGACGGUACCGUAAGAAGAAGCACCGGCUAACUACGUGCCAGCAGCCGCGGUAAUACGUAGGGUGCGAGCGUUAAUCGGAAUUACUGGGCGUAAAGCGUGCGCAGGCGGUUUGGUAAGACAGAUGUGAAAUCCCCGGGCUUAACCUGGGAACUGCAUUUGUGACUGCCAGACUAGAGUGUAGCAGAGGGGGGUAGAAUUCCACGUGUAGCAGUGAAAUGCGUAGAUAUGUGGAGGAAUACCGAUGGCGAAGGCAGCCCCCUGGGCUAACACUGACGCUCAUGCACGAAAGCGUGGGGAGCAAACAGGAUUAGAUACCCUUGUAGUCCCUGAGCGGGCUGGCAAGGCGCAU
rnacentral:rRNA from 1 species